UUUAUGGAGAGUUUGAUCCUGGCUCAGGACGAACGCUGGCGGCGUGCCUAAUACAUGCAAGUCGAGCGGACCGACGGGAGCUUGCUCCCUUAGGUCAGCGGCGGACGGGUGAGUAACACGUGGGUAACCUGCCUGUAAGACUGGGAUAACUCCGGGAAACCGGGGCUAAUACCGGAUGCUUGUUUGAACCGCAUGGUUCAAACAUAAAAGGUGGCUUUUCGCUACCACUUACAGAUGGACCCGCGGCGCAUUAGCUAGUUGGUGGGGUAACGGCUCACCAAGGCGACGAUGCGUAGCCGACCUGAGAGGGUGAUCGGCCACACUGGGACUGAGACACGGCCCAGACUCCUACGGGAGGCAGCAGUAGGGAAUCUUCCGCAAUGGACGAAAGUCUGACGGAGCAACGCCGCGUGAGUGAUGAAGGUUUUCGGAUCGUAAAACUCUGUUGUUAGGGAAGAACAAGUACCGUUCGAACAGGGCGGUACCUUGACGGUACCUAACCAGAAAGCCACGGCUAACUACGUGCCAGCAGCCGCGGUAAUACGUAGGUGGCAAGCGUUGUCCGGAAUUAUUGGGCGUAAAGCGCGCGCAGGCGGUUCUUUAAGUCUGAUGUGAAAGCCCCCGGCUCAACCGGGGAGGGUCAUUGGAAACUGGGGAACUUGAGUGCAGAAGAGGAGAGUGGAAUUCCACGUGUAGCGGUGAAAUGCGUAGAGAUGUGGAGGAACAC
rnacentral:rRNA from 1 species